rnacentral:rRNA from 1 species
CCUACGGGAGGCAGCAGUGGGGGAUAUUGCACAAUGGGCGGAACCCUGAUGCAGCGACGCCGCGUGGGGGAAUAAGCCCCUCGGCGCGUAAAGCCCUGUUAGCAGGGAAGAAAAUGACGGUACCUGACGAAUAAGACACGGCUAACUACGUGCCAGCAGCCGCGGUAAUACGUAGGGGGCAAGCUUUAUCCGGAUUUACUGGGUGUAAAGGGGGCGCAGGCGGGGUUGCAAGCCAGGUGUGAAAGCUAUGGGCCCAACCCACAGCCUGCCGUUGAAACUGCGUGGCUUGAGUGUUGGAGGGGCAGGCGGAAGGCCUGGUGUAGCGGUGAAAUGCGUAGAUAUCAGGAGGAACACCGGUGGCGAAGGCGGCCUGCUGGACAGCAACUGACGUUGAGGCCCGAAAGCGUGGGGAGCAAACAGGAUUAGAUACCCUGGUAGUC